CUUGCUUCUCUUGAGAGCGGCGGACGGGUGAGUAAUGCCUAGGAAUCUGCCUGGUAGUGGGGGAUAACGUUCGGAAACGGACGCUAAUACCGCAUACGUCCUACGGGAGAAAGCAGGGGACCUUCGGGCCUUGCGCUAUCAGAUGAGCCUAGGUCGGAUUAGCUAGUUGGUGGGGUAAUGGCUCACCAAGGCGACGAUCCGUAACUGGUCUGAGAGGGUGAUCAGUCACACUGGAACUGAGACACGGUCCAGACUCCUACGGGAGGCAGCAGUGGGGAAUAUUGGACAAUGGGCGAAAGCCUGAUCCAGCCAUGCCGCGUGUGUGAAGAAGGUCUUCGGAUUGUAAAGCACUUUAAGUUGGGAGGAAGGGUUGUAGAUUAAUACUCUGCAAUUUUGACGUUACCGACAGAAUAAGCACCGGCUAACUCUGUGCCAGCAGCCGCGGUAAUACAGAGGGUGCAAGCGUUAAUCGGAAUUACUGGGCGUAAAGCGCGCGUAGGUGGUUUGUUAAGUUGGAUGUGAAAUCCCCGGGCUCAACCUGGGAACUGCAUUCAAAACUGACUGACUAGAGUAUGGUAGAGGGUGGUGGAAUUUCCUGUGUAGCGGUGAAAUGCGUAGAUAUAGGAAGGAACACCAGUGGCGAAAGCGACCACCUGGGACUAAUACUGACACUGAGGUGCGAAAGCGUGGGGAGCAAAC
rnacentral:rRNA from 1 species